UGAGUACGAGCUGCUACGGCAGCGAAGUGGGUGAUGUCAAGCUUCCAAGAAAAGCCCUAUACCCGUUAAGGCAUGAUGGCCUGUACCCGAAACCGACACAGGUGGGGUGGUAGAGAAUACCGAGGGGCGCGAGAUAACUCUCUCUAAGGAACUCGGCAAAAUGGCCCCGUAACUUCGGGAGAAGGGGUGCCACCGCAAGGUGGUCGCAGUGAAGAGGCCCAGGCGACUGUUUACCAAAAACACAGGUCUCCGCUAAGUCGCAAGACGAUGUAUGGGGGCUGACGCCUGCCCAGUGCCGGAAGGUUAAGGAAGCUGGUCAGCGUAAGCGAAGCUAGCGACUGAAGCCCCGGUGAACGGCGGCCGUAACAAUAACGGUCCUAAGGUAGCGAAAUUCCUUGUCGGGUAAGUUCCGACCCGCACGAAAGGCGUAACGAUCUGGGCGCUGUCUCGGAGAGAGGCUCGGCGAAAUAGAAUUGUCUGUGAAGAUGCGGACUACGUGCACCCGGACAGAAAGACCCUAUGAAGCUUUACUGUAGCUUGGUAUUGUGCUCGGGCCCGGAAUGCGCAGGAUAGGUGGGAGGCUAUGAACCAUUGCUUGUGGGUGAUGGUGAGCCACUGGUGAGAUACCACUCUUUCCGAGCUAGAGUUCUAACAGCCACCCGUUAUCCGGGGGCUGGACAGUAUCAGGUGGGCAGUUUGACUGGGGCGGUCGCCUCCUAAAAGGUAACGGAGGCGCGCAAAGGUUUGCUCAGGCUGGUUGGAAAUCAGCCGACGAGUGUAAAAGCAGAAGCAAGCUUGACUGUGAGACCUACAAGUCGAACAGGGAGGAAACUCGGCUUUAGUGAUCCGACGGUUCUGCGUGGAAGGGCCGUCGCUCAACGGAUAAAAGUUACUCUAAGGAUAACAGGCUGAUCUCCCCCAAGAGUUCACAUCGACGGGGAGGUUUGGCACCUCGAUGUCGGCUCAUCGCAACCUGGGGCUGAAGUCGGUCCCAAGGGUUGGGCUGUUCGCCCAUUAAAGCGGUACGCGAGCUGGGUUCAGAACGUCGUGAGACAGUUCGGUCCAUAUCCGGUGCAUGCGCAGGAAUAUUGAGAGGAUUUCUCCCUAGUACGAGAGGACCGGGAGGAACGCACCUCUGGUGUACCAGUUAUCGUGCCAACGGUAAACGCUGGGUAGCCAUGUGCGGAGAGGAUAACCGCUGAAAGCAUCUAAGUGGGAAGCCCACCUCAAGAUGAGUAUUCCCAUGGGGUAACCCAGUAAGGUCACGGGAAGAACACCCGUUGAUAGGCUCUACGUGGAAGCGCAGUAAUGUGUGAAGCGGAGGAGUACUAAUAGACCGAGGGCUUGAGC
rnacentral:rRNA from 1 species